GGGCGAAAGCCUGAUCCAGCCACGCCGCGUGAGUGAUGAGGCCUUCGGGUGUAAAGCUCUGUCGGGAGGGAAGAAGAUCUGACGGUACCUCCAAGAAAGCACCGGCUAACUCCGUGCCAGCAGCCGCGGUAAUACGGAGGGUGCAAGCGUUGCUCGGAAUUACUGGGCGUAAAGCGCACGCAGGCGGCCCUGCAAGUCGGAUGUGAAAGCCCCGGGCUCAACCCGGGGAACUGCAUUCGAAACUGCUGGGCUUGAGUUCGGAAGAGGGUGGUGGAAUUCCUGGUGUAGAGGUGAAAUUCGUUGAUAUCAGGAGGAACACCGGCGGCGAAGGCGGCCACCUGGUCCGAUACUGACGCUCAUGUGCGAAAGCGUGGGUAGCAAACAGGAUUAGAUACCCUGGUAGUCCACGCCGUAAACGAUGAAUGCUAGGUGUUGGAGGUAUUCACCCCUUCAGUGCCGAAGUUAACGCAUUAAGCAUUCCGCCUGGGGAGUACGGCCGCAAGGUUAAAACUCAAAGGAAUUGACGGGGG
rnacentral:rRNA from 1 species